rnacentral:rRNA from 1 species
GCUUGUCUCAAAGAUUAAGCCAUGCAUGUCUAAGUAUAAACGACUUUAUACUGUGAAACUGCGAAUGGCUCAUUAUAUCAGUUAUAGUUUAUUUGAUGGUUCUUGCUACUUGGAUAACCGUAGUAAUUCUAGAGCUAAUACAUGCACAAAAUCCCGACUUACGAAGGGGUGUAUUUAUUAGAUGGAAACCAAUGCGGGGCAACCCGGAUUAUGGUGAUUCAUAAUAACUUUCAGAUCGAUCGCAAGAUCGAUGCAUCAUUCAAGUUUCUGCCCUAUCAGCUUUGGAUGGUAGGGUAUUGGCCUACCAUGGCUUUAACGGGUAACGGAGAAUUAGGGUUCGAUUCCGGAGAGGGAGCCUGAGAAACGGCUACCACAUCCAAGGAAGGCAGCAGG